rnacentral:lncRNA from 1 species
AAAUUAGAAGGAUUUAGUUAAAAAAAUUUUACGGGCCAUCCAAGCCCACGUAUGGCUUCGCCAUCGGCUGUAAAAUUCUAGGAGGAUUUGAUGAAAUUGAUACCUUUCUAUUGUACUUUAAUUUUGAGAUUUACUUUUUGUUCUUCUAUAAUUUUUAUAUUCCCCCAUUCUUGAGUAUCAUAAUAUUAUAGCAGAUAAGUGACAGAAAUAAUCGAAAAAUUGUAGGGAGAAAAGUAAAAACUACAUAAGAAUGAAAUUACUCUAUGUGUUCUCAAAAGUUUUGCUAAAAAAAUUUCAUGUGGCGAAAUUUGAUUAAAAUGCUAAAUUAAACCUUUUUCAGAAGUUUACGAAUUACAUGCAUGGUUUGGGUUUAAUUUAUUCCGAUCCUCUAGAAUUAAAUUAUAUAUGUGCUUAAAAUUCUGUUAGGCGUCAAUUUUAAUUCCCUGAAAAUUAACCAGCUGGUCGACGCGACGGUGACUUGACUUCCAAAGAUCGUAUGAGACAAAAGUCCCUCGGCCUGCUCUGGGGCUGGCGUGGCGGGCUGCAAGUAUAUAUAAUAACAAAAAUCUUUAUCCAAAUCAAUGUGGGUCUCAAACGUUGAUUUUACUGGCAUGCAGAUGCCGAUGGUGAUCACGAACUCGUCCACUGCUCUACUUGUUUUUGUACGUGGCACCCAAAUGAUCAUGCCCUUUGACGUUUUUCUCUCCUUUCAUCGGCCGGCAAUACUUUUUUAAUAAUCUCAAGUCUCAACUCCAUUAAUGAAGUUGUCUAAUUAUUGUCAAGAAUGAGAAGUACGACGCUGAUAAUCACACCCACAAUUGAAUUGUGCAUGUAUGUGCUCACUUUGGAUUAAUUAUGGGCAAUGAACGUCAUGCACCGACCCUUCGGCAGAGCUGGUGCAUUAGUGGCUUAUCCAAGGCGAAAUGGUCAAUCACAUCACAUCUCAUCUAGCCAAGUUCACAAUUGUUUGUAUCAUUGUAUGUAAUUAUGUGAGUUGAUAGCUUGAUGUGAUGUACUGCACGCCUUGCAGGCUGCAGCUGGUGCAUGGCCUACGUACCAACUUUUUGCAACAAGAACAGACAUUCAGUAGACAAAUAGACAUAUUUAUUUAUAGGAUCCCUCUAAGUUACAUGCAUGUACCUUACAACUCUCUCACAUGAAUAGUGAGUGGACUCAUAUCAUUCACUAUUCAUGUGAGAGUGGUGUAAGAUACAUGCAUGUAACUUAGUAUUAGCCUUAUUUAUAGGGAAAUUAUUAAUAGUAUCCUUUAUAGUUGAUCUAUUAUAAAAAAAUAUUAUAAUAUUUUAAGGUUGUAUGAAUCAUCUAUCAUAAAUUGAUAAAAUUAUUUGUCAAUCAUCAAACCGUUAGCUACCAUUUGAAAGUUAAUGAAAUUAUAGUAAAUUAACGAUUUUACCCUUGAAAUUUAAAUUAAAGUAAAGAAAAAUUAUCAAUUGUAUCAUAUGAAAAAACUAAAUUACCCUUUUGGCGUCACCCUAUUUAAAUGGUAAGUAAUAGUUUUGUGGAUGGUAGAUACAUUUUGUCAACUUAGGGUGGACGAUUAAUACACCCUUAAAGUAUUGUAAUAUUUUUUAUAAUAGAGCAACUAUAAAAUAUACGAAUGAUAAUUUCUCUUUUUUAUAUUCAGCAAGAUUUCAUCUUACUGAUUUAUUAUUACAAUGACAUGCAUAAUUUUAUAUUUAUAUAUACAUAACACUAUUCUUAUUAAUUUCUUUCUCCACUUACUGUCACUAUUCUAAUAGUAAUAACUUAGUUCGUGAUUUUAACAGUUUCAUCUAGUGCUCCACUUACUGUCACUAUUCGGCUCUGUCUCUUUGCUUUCUGAUUAGUAUUAAAAAUUAUUUAAUUAUCAAGCGAUAAUAUGUUAUUUUAUGCUUAUGUUAUAAUUUAUAUUUGUGUUUAUGUAAUAUAUUAUGAAUUAUGAAUUAUGUUUUAAAUAUAUUUAAUUUUGUGUAUUUUUAUGUGUUUAUUAGGAAAAUUAUUAAUUUCACGUACUUUGAGGCUCCAAACAGAUAAACGGAGGUCAAAUUUAGAUUCCGGAGGUCCGAAAACCUUAAGAUCAGUCAAGAUCAGCUUAAAAUUGGACUUGUGUAUAAAAAAUUGACUUUUCCUGUUGACCGAGCACUGAUUGGAUGAUGAAAUGAGCUUACAAUAGAUAUGAGUGCAUGGGAUAACUGGCAAUCUUGACUAAAUCUCAACCGUUCAUGAUUCAAUGGCCAUGAUUGUGCCACGUGGCAAUGGUUGGUGAAGCAAGUUGGAGGAUCCGAAUCUUUGUAUUCGGGUCGACCCGAUCCACCCAUUAACCUGCCAAAUCUCAACCGUUCUUUAGGUAAAUCAGACAAGUCAAAUGAUGCCAUGUGUGAUGUUGACUUUUGAAGUUUGACCAGCCAUUAGAUCUUGAUCUAAGGGUUGUGAGGAGCACAUGCAUGAAGCCUAUAAUGGACCGCAAAGCACUGGAUUAAGAAUUUAUUUUUCUAUAAAUAGAGUCUCAUUUUUAUGUUUUAAUCAUCUCUCUACAACUCUCUUCUUCUCAAAUUCUCUCCAUCUUCUUGUAAUCUUGAUUUCCAGGUGUGUUUUUAAUAUUUUGUAUAAUUAUUUUCAUUAAUAAAAUUAGUUUUAUUUCCAAUUUUAGUUGUUUUUAUUUCUUUUAAUUAUAAGUAAUUCAAUUUUACUACUUCUUUUUAUUUUAAUUAUGCUUAACUAAAUAAUAUUAGUUAGGGGAAGGUGAAACUCUUAAGAAAUAAAUAUGAUUUAAUCAAAUUCUAUGUUUAAUUUUAUAAAUUAAAUUAUUUUCUAUUUAAUUUUAUACAUGUUUUAUAGUUUGAAAAUUUGAUUUAUUGUAGACAAACAAAUGAAUUUGGCACAAUAAAUUCUUAAGAUCUUAAUAUAAGGCAUGGUGAAAUGGUAUUUUGACUUAUUGUAGACAAAUUAAAUUUUGGCACAAUAAAUACUUAAUCCAUAAUAAAAUUAAAGGGAAAAUAAUAAUAAUUUGUAUAAUUAAUCUUUUGGGUAAUAAAUCUAAAACAAGUUGGCAAAAAGAAUUUAUUAAGUUUUAUUUAUUUCUAAGAGUGGAUCCAUAACCCUAACUAGUUCAAUUCCAUAGUUUCAUUUAAAUUAAGUUGUUUAUAUUCAAGUUUUAAUUUCAAUUUUUAGAUAAAAUAAAAUAAACUAAUUAAAUCUUUUCUCUGUGGAUCGACCUCGGACUCACCGAGUUAUAAUACAACAAGACACUCUUAUACUUGGGAGUUAAAAUUUACUUUUAAGUUGUGUCACUUUCUACGAACAAAAGCCCAAGAGUAGAACAAAAGACAGCUUAGGGAUGGCAAAAUCCGGGUCCGGGUCCGGGUCCGGGUUUAGCCUUUCCGGAUCCGGACCCGGAUACUAUUUUCUUUUCCCGGACCCGGAUUUUAACCCGAAUUUUUUCACCUGGGUCCGGGUCCGGGUUCAACCCGGAAAAAUCUGGGUUUCCGGAUUCCGGGUUUUGAACCCGGAUCAAUGAAUCAAUAUUAAUUUCUAAAAUUCUAAAAAUAAAAAAUUAAUACAUUUCUAAACAAUAACACAUUUAGAUUAAUCAAUAAAAUUAAUUAAAAAUAAUAUUAAAAUUAAAUAUCCGGUUCCGGAUGUCCGGGUUAACCUAAACCCGAACCCGGACCCGGAUAUAUCCGGGUUAUUAAAAUUUAUUUCGGAACCGAAUUUUUUUAUAUUCCGGUGCGGGUUCAACCCGGCCCGGAUUAUCUGGGUUCAUCCGGGUCCGGGCCGGGUCCGGAUUAUUUUGCCAUCCCUAAGACAGCUAAUGAAGGAGACAAAUUGAUAAAUUCCCCAACUUAGGUUUGCCGACCCGUUCCGCCCAGGGGCUUUGAAUUGGAGGAUUUCUAAUCAGCAAUUAAAUGAAACAUUGUCAUACAUUUAUUAUUAUUACUGAAUAAAGUUCUCUCUUUCUCCAACAGGUUACUAAAUUAUAAAUUCAAUCUCCUGCUUAAAGUGCCAUCUUAAAUAAAUCCAUUCAAAUUUCAAACCAGGAUUAUUCAUUUAUUUGUUUGUUUAAUGACAAAUUAUGCAUGAUUUGAGUAAUUAACAAUAGAGUGGCAACUCUAAUUCCACCUCAACCACACAAAAGUAAAUAAAAAUUAAAACAUUUUAAUGAAUACCCUUAAAAGUUUGAAUUAACAAUAAAGUUGUUCCAAAUUAUUGCCUUAAUAGGGUUGAGGUAAGGCACAUUGGUGGGGUUGCAUAUCAUUUUUCUUAUGGUACAGGUGGCAGUUUGAAGGUUUUAAAAUUAUAAAGGCAGUGUAAAAUCUAAAACUGAAUUGCAAAGGGCAGUUUCUAAAACUUUCAAAUUUGCAAGGGUGGUUCUGAUAUUAUACACGAAGAGAAAAAAAAAAUCACUGCCAAGGGGAGGCCAAUACUCCUAUUUUUUUUUUUUUUCGCAAACUAAUAAUCACAAUUGACGAUCCUCUGCUAUUUAAGGUGAAAAUAUAUCGAUUGUGAGUAUUAUUUUGUUUGAUUUUAUUUUCUUUGAGGUCAAUUUUUCCUAAUGAACAUUCGUUAUAUUUUUAUUAGGUGUACUUCGUGAUUGGUUGGUUCAAAAUACAAAGAACAAGAAGUAAAUGGACGUGUAUAAUAAAAAUACCACUACAUAUUUGAUUGUAUAAAUCAAGAAUUAUUAAUCCUAUAUCUAAGGUGAAUGCACUUGAAGAAAAGCCAAGCCAUAUUGUGGGAAGGAAGAUGGGGAUUGGUGAAUAAGCAAACUGACAAAAUUCAUCAACAAUAUUUUUGAAACCUUUUAUAUAUAUAUAUAUAUAUAUAUGGUUAAUGCUAAGUUACAUGCAUGUACCUUACACCCCUCUCACAUGAAUAGUGAAUG